AAUUUCAAAAUAAAACCGAAACUUAAAAUAAUAACUAAAUAAAAUAUACAUUCAAAAACGCACAUAAAAACGAAUAAAUUUAUCAUUCAUUUUAUAUUAAUAUAAGAGUCAUUUAUUAUAAUAAUUAGUUUCUUUAAACCUUUAUCAUUAAAGUAUCUCAUAACCGAUUUAAACACGGUCGUCGGCGCCAAUGUGUUUAUUAUGUUUAUUUUAAACAAGUCACACUCAAUUUUAAAUAAUAUAUUUUUAUUAUAAUCUAAAUAAUCCACUUUAAAAUUUAAAUUUUUAAAAAAUAAUACUUCCAAAACUUCGAACAUUUAAAAUAAAUAUUUGAUCCUAAUCUAUGGGAU
rnacentral:rRNA from 1 species